CUUGAUGAUAACAUUGUGCCACAGCACAAGCCUCGCAUGUGGAAGAGAUCACUAAUCUACGAGGGACCAUGCCUGCUUAUCAUCAAUCUGCAGAUUCUGCACGAGAAACAAGGAUUCCAUAAACAGACCGGGCAUGUUUUCAAACAGGGCCGUGAUGCUGGAAGCAGUCUGCCAGCUCUGUGAACACCGGGUCAGCAGAGGAGCGAGUCGGAGACAGAGGGGAGAGAAAAACGGAUAGAUGAUGUUUGCUUGGAGCCGCGAGGGAGCUACCCACAGUCUCCAUUGUUGGGAAGUUGGGUGGUAGGAUGAAGACAUGGAGGAUAAAGGGCAAAAGACCAGAGAGUAUACGUCUCUCUGAUGGAGAGUUGCAGCUGCUCUAUUGAAGACAAGGAGCACAGAGAGGUUUGGGACUCUUUGACAGCAGCUGGUAACAGCUUCUUCAGCAGGUGGCUUGACCUAAUUAUCAGGAUAGAGAUGCCAACAGCCUGUUUCCCCCCCUUAUCCAGGAACAUGCGAGAAGCAGGCGCGUAAUAUACGGACGACUGUACAACACUAUUUCUGCCGCCAAUUAUAAUGGGGCACUAAUUGUGCUACAUCCUGAGGAAGAGGAGAAACGAAGGGGAAGAAUACAUGAGGGAGGUGUUAUGAGGCAUUAAAGAAGUUGACUGAGAAUUAACAAGCCAUAGGACUGGAAGAUAAAAAUAAAUCUGAUUUGUAUCACAUUAUGUCAAGUAGGCAAAAUCAUAAUCAAACUGAUGCAAGCUCUAAUGUUAGGGAUGGGGCUCAAUAGCAAUGUAUUUAAUCUGAAUCCAGUAUCAAAUGUACUCAUCAUAUCUGCAUCCUUUAAAAAGUGAGUCUAAUUAGGUUGAGCUUCACAUGUGUAAGUAACUAAAAAACUAGGCCUCAGAUAUUUAACACUAGUUUUUAAUGAUGAUGAUUUUAGUGAAUUAAUGUUCACAACAUGUAGCUACAACCUGUAAGUGAGACCAGCAACGUAACAGACAGUCUAACAAGGUGUUGAUGGAAAUGACACUCUGAACCAACAGAUGGAGCGUACUUACAAUUAAGAUCAUAAACUUUAAUUAUUUUCAUGAUAUGCAUAAACUGGGAU